rnacentral:misc_RNA from 1 species
GAUGAAGAACGCAGCGAAAUGCGAUACUUGGUGUGAAUUGCAGAAUCCCGUGAACCAUCGAGUCUUUGAACGCAAGUUGCGCCCGAAGCCACUAGGCCGAGGGCACGCCUGCCUGGGCGUCACACGCCGUUGCCCCCCCAUCUACUCCUUCGGGAUUGCGGGGGGGCGGAUGAUGGCCUCCCGUGCGCCUAGCCGCGCGGUUGGCAUAAAUACCAAGUCCUCGGCGACGCACGCCACGACAAUCGGUGGUUGCGAAACCUCGGGUGCCCGUCGUGUGCGUUCGUCGCGCAUCGAGGGCUCGAAAAAAUGCUCGGCUCCGGCUGGGCUUUCAACGCGACCCCAGGUCAGGCGGGGUUACCCGCUGAAUUUAAGCAUAUCAAUAAGCGGAGGA